AUACGGAGGGUCCGAGCGUUAUCCGGAAUCAUUGGGUUUAAGGGUCCGUAGGCGGGAAUCUAAGUCAGUGGUGAAAUCUUGCAGCUCAACUGUAAAAUUGCCAUUGAUACUGGGUUUCUUGAAUUAGUGUGAAGUGGUUAGAAUGUGUAGUGUAGCGGUGAAAUGCAUAGAUAUUACACAGAAUACCAAUUGCGAAGGCAGAUCACUAACACUAUAUUGACGCUGAGGGACGAAAGCGUGGGGAGCGAACAGGAUUAGAAACCCGAGUAGUCC
rnacentral:rRNA from 1 species